ACACGGAGAGGAGGUGGUCCAGUAGAUGAAUAGCUAUCGGACUUGUGAGGUGGCUGCUCGCUAGCAGCCCUGGUCGUCGCAGGACUUGGGGGUGACCCCCGCGUUCGCCGGCUUGGCAGCUGGCAAUAACGAGUAGUCACCCGACUCGUGGGCUCCCGGCGCUGGUCCGUCCGGGCCACAUCUGCCGACUGUGUGUCAGCAGAGUGGAAGCAGCCCACGGGUCGUCCCAC
rnacentral:sRNA from 1 species